AAUAAAAUUCUAAACUUCCUAUUUCGCAUCACAUGGUUGCUUAUGCACAUCACUAAAAAUGGGGACAAAUUCAAAAAGGAGUAACUGCAUUACAUCAUGCAUCAUCUAUCAUGUUCUCUAAUUUUAAAUAAGUCUGACCCAACAGCCAAAUUAAGUUGCUUUUUCAAAAUCACAAUUUUCAAAUAUGGAAACAGUAGCAGGUUUACACAUCAAGUAAGAACAAUAAUUAUUCCCAAUUUCCUCAUAAAACAUCAGGUUCAAAUCUUCAGAUAUUAAGUCCUCAAAUGGCAAAAAGGAUGAACACUGUCAAAGCCAAAAAGAAGGAAUCAAUUCAGAGGAAAACCUUCAGAUAACUUCCAUCAAGAG
rnacentral:misc_RNA from 1 species